GCUGGCGGCGUGCCUAAACAUGCAAGUCGAACGAGAAAGUGGAGCAAUCCAUGAGUAAAGUGGCGACCGGGUGAGUAACACGUGACUAACCUACCUCCGAGUGGGGAAUAACUCCGGGAAACCGGGGCUAAUACCGCAUAACAUCGCAAGAUCAAAGCAGCAAUGCGCUUGGAGAGGGGGUCGCGGCUGAUUAGCUAGUUGGCGGGGUAACGGCCCACCAAGGCGAAGAUCGGUAUCCGGCCUGAGAGGGCGCACGGACACACUGGAACUGAAACACGGUCCAGACUCCUACGGGAGGCAGCAGUGGGGAAUUUUGCGCAAUGGGGGAAACCCUGACGCAGCAACGCCGCGUGGAGGAUGAAGCCCUUUGGGGCGUAAACUCCUUUCGACCAAGACGAUAAUGACGGUACUGGUGGAAGAAGCACCGGCUAACUCUGUGCC
rnacentral:rRNA from 1 species